AUGCCAUCAGGUGUGGUAUGUGAUCACAGGCAACUCAGGAACAGCUCUCCAGCCCCAGGACUUCUGCUGGAACCGCUGGGAGUUGGAAGCUUUCUUCCCACUGAGGGGCAAACCUUCUAGGUAUCUGAAGAUGUUGAAGACCAUUUCCUGGAACAGCAGAGGUAAAUGCCCAGAGGAUGAGAACACAUAGCCAUUAGGAGAGCCUGAAAGUUCAGUGUGACUGAAAGAUGAAGUUCAAGAGAAGGGACAAACUGCAAAACACAAGCUGGAGAGUUUUAGAUCUCAAUGGCGGGAACACCUUCAUGGCCCCUUUAUAGCUGGUAUGUUUUCUUCUUAUGGACAAUGAGAAACAUGUAAUAAACUGUGUUUCCUUCUCGCUAG
rnacentral:lncRNA from 10 species